rnacentral:rRNA from 1 species
GAGUUUGAUCGUGGCUCAGGAUGAACGCUGGCGGCGUGCCUAAUACAUGCAAGUCGAGCGAACGGACGAGAAGCUUGCUUCUCUGAUGUUAGCGGCGGACGGGUGAGUAACACGUGGGUAACCUACCUAUAAGACUGGGAUAACUCCGGGAAACCGGGGCUAAUACCGGAUAACACAUGAAACCGCAUGGUUUCAUGAUGAAAGACGGUCUUGCUGUCACUUAUAGAUGGAUCCGCGCUGCAUUAGCUAGUUGGUAAGGUAACGGCUUACCAAGGCAACGAUGCAUAGCCGACCUGAGAGGGUGAUCGGCCACACUGGAACUGAGACACGGUCCAGACUCCUACGGGAGGCAGCAGUAGGGAAUCUUCCGCAAUGGGCGAAAGCCUGACGGAGCAACGCCGCGUGAGUGAUGAAGGUCUUCGGAUCGUAAAACUCUGUUAUUAGGGAGAACAUAUGUGUAAGUAACUGUGCACAUCUUGACGGUACCUAAUCAGAAAGCCACGGCUAACUAC